AGGCUUUCAAAAUUCACUGGCUUUCUAGAAUUCCAGGAAGAAACUUGGAGACUCAAGUUACCCAUGAAAGAUGUUGGAAGAGCAUCUGCACUUCCCUGAUUAGUUUCUGGUGGCUGCAGCCAUGCCCCACUGUUAAGUUGACAUCUGGGAGUCCCGAAAUUUGGAUGAUGCCAGUUGUGAAGCUGUGAGUUUGUUUGCCCUCUUUGUGACAACUAAAAUAUGUCUCCACACAUUGCCAAAUGUUCUCUGGGGCAAAAUCAUACCUGACUAGAACCACUGCUAAGAGAAAGCAACAAGAGAAGUACUGUCUUUGGUAAGUUGAAAACAAUUCUUUGCAAGUGACUGGUGAUGCAGAUUUGCAAGAAAUAGAGAGGCAAGAGAUUUGGUGUGAUAUAAAAUAGAGGAAAAAUGAUUGCCCCUAGACCUCAGUCACACCAGCAUUAUGCUUUCACUGCCUAAGCAAUGAGUUAAAGACAAUGGGAAGCAAUAAAUUUUCUAGAUGUGUGGCAUAGCUUUGGAUUCAAUGAUCAAUUGGACCACCUAUGGCCAUUUCACUUCACCUUGGGACUUCCUUUUUCACAUCACCGUGGAGGCCACUGAACUGCCUUGCUGUUGUUUUAUCAUGUAGUCAUGGACUUUGAGUA